GGCACGGUGGCGCAGUGGGUAGCGUUGCUGCCUCACAACUGGAAGGCUGUGGGUUUGAAUCUGGCCUGAGGCC